rnacentral:rRNA from 1 species
GACGAACGCUGGCGGCGUGCUUAACACAUGCAAGUCGAACGGUGAAGCGCCUUCCUUUUUGGUGGGUGUGGAUGAGUGGCGAACGGGUGAGUAACACGUGAGUAACCUGCCCCCUUCUUCUGGAUAACCGCAUCAAAGUGUGGCUAAUACGGGAUAUUCUGGGUCUGUCGCAUGAUGGGUCUGGGAAAGAUAUUGUUUCGGUGGGGGAUGGGCUCGCGGCCUAUCAGCUUGUUGGUGGGGUGAUGGCCUACCAAGGCGGUGACGGGUAGCCGACCUGAGAGGGUGGACGGUCACACUGGGACUGAGACACGGCCCAGACUCCUACGGGAGGCAGCAGUGGGGAAUAUUGCACAAUGGGCGCAAGCCUGAUGCAGCGACGCCGCGUGAGGGAUGGAGGCCUUCGGGUUGUGAACCUCUUUCGCCAGUGAAGCAGGCCUGCCUCGUUUGUGGGUGGGUUGACGGUAGCUGGAUAAGAAGCGCCGGCUAACUACGUG